rnacentral:rRNA from 1 species
UGCGCAGGCGGGCUUGUAAGUCAGUGGUGAAAUGCUGCCGCUCAACGGUAGAACUGCCAUUGAUACUGCAAGUCUUGAAUAUGGUUGAGGUAGGCGGAAUGUGUCGUGUAGCGGUGAAAUGCAUAGAUAUGACACAGAACGCCAAUUGCGAAGGCAGCUUACUAAGCCAUUAUUGACGCUGAGGCACGAAAGCGUGGGGAGCGAACAGGAUUAGAUACCCUGGUAGUCC